rnacentral:misc_RNA from 1 species
GAAAUGCGAUAAGUAGUGUGAAUUGCAGAAUUCAGUGAAUCAUCGAAUCUUUGAACGCACAUUGCGCCCCUCGGUAUUCCGUGGGGCAUGCCUGUUCGAGCGUCAUCUACACCCUCAAGCUCUGCUUGGUGUUGGGCGUCUGUCCCGCCUCCUUCGCGCGCGGACUCGCCCCAAAUCCAUUGGCGGCGGCCCUUGCCUCCCUCUCGCGCAGCACAUUGCGCUUCUAGAGGCGCGGCGGACCGCGUCCAGCAAGCAACCGUCACACCGUCUUUGACCUCGGAUCAGGUAGGGAUACCCGCUGAACUUAAGC